rnacentral:tRNA from 1 species
AGUAAGGUCAGCUAAUUAAGCUACCGGGCCCAUACCCCGGAAAUGUUGGUUCAUACCCUUCCCGUACUA